AGAAGUUUGAUUCAUGGCUCAGGAUGAACGCUGGCGGCGUGCCUAAUACAUGCAAGUCGAGCGAACGGACGAGAAGCUUGCUUCUCUGAUGUUAGCGGCGGACGGGUGAGUAACACGUGGAUAACCUACCUAUAAGACUGGGAUAACUUCGGGAAACCGGAGCUAAUACCGGAUAAUAUUUUGAACCGCAUGGUUCAAAAGUGAAAGACGGUCUUGCUGUCACUUAUAGAUGGAUCCGCGCUGCAUUAGCUAGUUGGUAAGGUAACGGCUUACCAAGGCAACGAUGCAUAGCCGACCUGAGAGGGUGAUCGGCCACACUGGAACUGAGACACGGUCCAGACUCCUACGGGAGGCAGCAGUAGGGAAUCUUCCGCAAUGGGCGAAAGCCUGACGGAGCAACGCCGCGUGAGUGAUGAAGGUCUUCGGAUCGUAAAACUCUGUUAUUAGGGAAGAACAUAUGUGUAAGUAACUGUGCACAUCUUGACGGUACCUAAUCAGAAAGCCACGGCUAACUACGUGCCAGCAGCCGCGGUAAUACGUAGGUGGCAAGCGUUAUCCGGAAUUAUUGGGCGUAAAGCGCGCGUAGGCGGUUUUUUAAGUCUGAUGUGAAAGCCCACGGCUCAACCGUGGAGGGUCAUUGGAAACUGGAAAACUUGAGUGCAGAAGAGGAAAGUGGAAUUCCAUGUGUAGCGGUGAAAUGCGCAGAGAUAUGGAGGAACACCAGUGGCGAAGGCGACUUUCUGGUCUGUAACUGACGCUGAUGUGCGAAAGCGUGGGGAUCAAACAGGAUUAGAUACCCUGGUAGUCCACGCCGUAAACGAUGAGUGCUAAGUGUUAGGGGGUUUCCGCCCCUUAGUGCUGCAGCUAACGCAUUAAGCACUCCGCCUGGGGAAG
rnacentral:rRNA from 1 species